rnacentral:tRNA from 1 species
GGAAUCAUAGCUCAGCGGGAGAGCACUUGCUUGACGUGCAAGGGGUCGUGGGUUCAAGCCCCUCUGAUUCCACCA